rnacentral:rRNA from 1 species
UCCUACGGGGGGCUGCAGUGGGGAAUAUUGGACAAUGGGCGCAAGCCUGAUCCAGCCAUGCCGCGUGGAUGAUGAAGGCCUUAGGGUUGUAAAGUCCUUUUAACGGGGAAGAUAAUGACGGUACCCGUAGAAUAAGCCCCGGCUAACUUCGUGCCAGCAGCCGCGGUAAUACGAAGGGGGCUAGCGUUGCUCGGAAUCACUGGGCGUAAAGCGCACGUAGGCGGCUUUCUAAGUCAGGGGUGAAAUCCUGGAGCUCAACUCCAGAACUGCCUUUGAUACUGGGAAGCUUGAGUUCGGGAGAGGUGAGUGGAACUGCGAGUGUAGAGGUGAAAUUCGUAGAUAUUCGCAAGAACACCAGUGGCGAAGGCGGCUCACUGGCCCGAUACUGACGCUGAGGUGCGAAAGCGUGGGGAGCAAACAGGAUUAGAUACCCGAGUAGUCU